GUGCUUACCUGGCAAGGGGAGACACCAUGAUCAGGCAGGUGGUUUUCCCAGGAUGAAGCUCAUCCCCUGCUCUCCAGGUCUCCCUGUGAUUUCCCAAACAUGGGAAACUCAGCUGGAUAAUUUGUGGUAGUGGGGGACUGUGUUUGUGCUAAGCUACC
ensembl:snRNA U1 U1 spliceosomal RNA